UCUCUGGUGGCCUAGUGGUUAAGGACCCGGCAUUGUCAAUGCUGUAGUUCGGGUUUGAUCCCUGGCCUGGGAA
rnacentral:tRNA from 1 species